rnacentral:hammerhead_ribozyme from 1 species
AGAUGAAGAGUCCCAAACAGGACGAAACAGCUGUCCGGUGU